rnacentral:lncRNA from 1 species
CCAGAUAAGGAGCUUAAGUAUUUGACAUACACUGUACAUUUAAUUCUCAGGUAGAUAUUAUCAUUUCUUCAUCUUGCAGGUGAGACAACUAGACACAGAGAAAUUAAGUACUAUGAUCAAGGUCACACAGCUGAUAAGUGACAGAGCCUGAAGUCAAAUCCCUGUUUCGAAUGGAAAGGCCAGAGUCUUAAAUUCUGUCAUCAGAGUGCUUCAUUAAGUUGGCACCUAGCGGAGUAACUCUUGUGUGGUGGACUUGAAACCAAUAUGUGUGGAAUAAAUAAAAAAGCCAAUCCAUAAAUUGAUCCUAGUAUGAUUCCUUUCAGGAAUGUCCAUACCUGUAGCAUUCACGGUGAAUAAAGCUAUAGCUGCUAUAAGAAAUAACCCCUCAACCUCAGGGGCUAAAACGGUAUUUCUUACUCAUGUCACAGUACAUAUGGCCAGUAAUGGUGUGUUGGGGAAGGCUUGCUCUCUGCAGUCAGUCAGGAUCCAGGUUCCUUCUAGACUGUGGCUCGGCCACAUUCAGUGCUCUUCUCUCCAGGUUGCCCUGAGCACUGUGGUCUCCAGGUUUGUGUCACCUUCCAGGUGGCAGAUGGCAGAUGAGAGUGGAGGCGGGCUCUGGGAGUUUUAGGGCCAGGCCUGGAAGUUUCAUGAUUCCAUUGACCAAGACUGUAUCACGUGGCCCCACUAACUGCAGAGGAGGUUGGGAAAUGUCACUGGGCUGUGUGCCCAGGAAGAACAUGAAAUGGGCUUGGUGAGCCCACAGCUUUGUCUGCCACAGACCUAUUUCCCAUGUUUACAGAUGAAAACCUACAGACUCAGGCUGUAUUUUCCUUGACAAAACCCUUCAAUCCUACUUGAAUGGAAAUUUCCAUCAUGCUCAUCAUUUUUGAGUCAUUCCUUUGCCUUUGAUGGCAAAUGUUGGAGUUUUGUACACCUAAGAUCGGAUGUAAAAUGCACAGCUCUUCCUAGGACCACCGUCACUACCUUUCUUUUGUUGGCACAGAGUUUAUUUGUUGACCAUACUGGAAAGCUCUAGAAUUUGUUGGGACAUUUAAUAAGGUGGAUUCAGUGAAGAACUCUGGAUGUUAGAAAUAGAGGAAUAUGCCUUGGUGGAGGAAUGUCUAGUUUAGAAAUGAAAUAUAUGCAUGUGGCUUUAAAACGUCCUAUGGUUAUCAGAGUUUCUGUCGUGGCUUAGCGGUAACAAACCCGACUAGUAUCCAUGAGGAUGUGGGUUCAAUCCCUGGACUCGCUCAAUGGAUUAAGGAUCUGGCGUUGCCCUGAGCUGUGGUGUAUGUCACUGAUGGGGCUCAGAUCCAGAGUGGCUGUGUCGUAGGCCGGUGGCUACAGCUCUGAUUCAACCCCUAGCCUGGAAACAUCCAUGUGCUGCACGGACAGCCCUGAAAAGAAAGGAAAAACAAAAAACAAAAACUUCCUAUGUUUAUCUAUAAAGUUAAUUAUCUAGUUCAGGAUAACAAAGAGAAUCAGUUCUUAAACCAGAUCGGAAAUGCAUUUAUCUCUUUAUUUACAACAAACCUGACUCAAUUGAGUGAUCCUAUUUUGAGGGAGUUUCUUUUCAUUCACAAGUGUGUUUUAUGCUUAAGUGACAACUGGCAGCCUCUUCCUCAUAUUUAAAAUUAGAGCCCAUUAAAGGCAAGUUUCUGUUUACUCUCCCAAGUAUUGGGGCUCUCAAGUAUCUAAUUUCUAAUGAGAGGCUGAAUUAUUCAUAAAAGGCAUUUAUCUUUCUUACUCCAAUUAUUAAUCUCUUGAUGCUACUGGUGGUCUCAAGGCUCUGCCAUAAAAGCUUAAUGCAUUUUUCAUCCAUGUGUCACAUGUCUUUGGCUAGACAUGAAGGGGUUAAAAAAUAGUCCCUGAGCCGGUGCCAGACAAUUAGGUAAUUACAAAACAAUUUUGCACAUGAAAGUAAUCUUGUAAGCAUUAUGCCUGAAGUCAUGGCUAAACAACUCUUGCUUUCUUAAUUGUGCACUAGGGUUUUCAAUGUCAUCAUCAUGUUUCCAGAUUUUUUAAAAAAUUAUUUCCUAUUUUUAAAGCAUACAGUGAGGAGUUCCUGUCGUGGCUCAGUGGUAAUGAAGCCGAUUGGUAUCCAUGAGGAUGAAGGUUCGAUCCCUGGCCUUGCUCAGUGGGUUAAGGAUCCGGCAUUGCUGUGAACUACGGUGUAGUCACAGAUGCAGCACCCAUCCCACAUUGCUGUGGCUGUGAUGUAGUUCGAGACUGUAGCUCCAAUUCGACCCCUAGACUGGGAACUUCCAUAUGCCGUGGGUUCAGCCAUAAACAAAUAAAAUGAAAUGAAAUGAAAUGAAAUAAAAUAAAAUAAAAUAUAAAGCGUAAGGUGAUUGUUUUGUGUCCCAAUAACUUUUCUUUACUGGCAUGAAAAUAUUUCCAAAUUAAUAGUGAGAGAGCAGUCAGCAUUGACGGAGUGUUCCCUAUAUGCUAGGUUCUAUGCUAAGCACUUUGCAAGGCCUAUCUUGUUUAGCUUUCUCAACCCCCCUGCUAGGUAGGUAAUAAUAAACAGCUAAGGCUCAGAUAGUACUUCCUGUGCUGCAGGGGCUCAUUUACUGUCAUUACAAUCCUCUGAGGUUUAGGCUCAACCUCACUGAACCCAGAAGCCAUUCAGCAGUGUUACGGGCUGAAUCGUGUUCUCCCAAAAUUCAUCACUGACACUUAACAUCCUGUACCUUUAAAUAAACUGUAUUUGGAAAUAAGGUUUUUAGAGGGAUAAUUACAUUAAAAUGAAGGCGUCAGCACGGACCCAAAUCCAAUAUGGAGUUCCCCUUUUGGCUCAGUGGUACCGAACCUGGCUAGUAUGCAUGAGGAUGCAGGUUCAAUCCCUGGCCUUGCUCAGUGGGUUAAGGAUCAGGGUUGCCAUGAGCUGUGGAGUAGGUCACAGACAUGGCCCAGAUCCCAUGUUGCUGUGGCUGUGGUGUAGACAGGCAGCUGCAGCUCCAAUUCAAAGCCUGGGAACUUUCAUAUGCCGCAGGUGCAGC